rnacentral:rRNA from 1 species
GAUGAACGCUGGCGGCGUGCCUAACACAAGCAAGUCGAGCGAUCUUCUUCGGAAGAGAGCGGCGGACGGGUGAGUAACGCGUGGGUAACCUGCCCUGUACACACGGAUAACAUACCGAAAGGUAUGCUAAUACGGGAUGACAUAUGAAAGUCGCAUGGCUUUUAUAUCAAAGCUCCGGCGGUACAGGAUGGACCCGCGUCUGAUUAGCUAGUUGGUAAGGUAACGGCUUACCAAGGCGACGAUCAGUAGCCGACCUGAGAGGGUGAUCGGCCACACUGGAACUGAGACACGGUCCAGACUCCUACGGGAGGCAGCAGUGGGGAAUAUUGCACAAUGGGCGAAAGCCUGAUGCAGCAACGCCGCGUGAGCGAUGAAGGCCUUCGGGUCGUAAAGCUCUGUCCUCAAGGAAGAUAAUGACGGUACUUGAGGAGGAAGCCCCGGCUAACUACGUGCCAGCAGCCGCGGUAAUACGUAGGGGGCUAGCGUUAUCCGGAAUUACUGGGCGUAAAGGGUGCGUAGGCGGUCUUUCAAGCCAGAAGUGAAAGGCUACGGCUCAACCGUAGUAAGCUUUUGGAACUGUAGGACUUGAGUGCAGGAGAGGAGAGUGGAAUUCCUAGUGUAGCGGUGAAAUGCGUAGAUAUUAGGAGGAACACCAGUAGCGAAGGCGGCUCUCUGGACUGUAACUGACGCUGAGGCACGAAAGCGUGGGGAGCAAACAGG